UACAGAGGUCCCAAGCGUUGUUCGGAUUCACUGGGCGUAAAGGGUGCGUAGGCGGUCGGGUAAGUCUGAUGUGAAAUCUCUGGGCUUAACCCAGAAAUGGCAUUGGAUACUAUUUGGCUUGAGAGUUGGAGGGGGGACUGGAAUUCUUGGUGUAGCAGUGAAAUGCGUAGAUAUCAAGAGGAACACCAGUGGCGAAGGCGAGUCCCUGGACAACUUCUGACGCUGAGGCACGAAAGCUAGGGGAGCAAACAGG
rnacentral:rRNA from 1 species